UUCGAUCGCGGCUCAGAUUGAACGCUGGCGGAUGCUUUACAUGCAAGUCGAACGGGCAGCACGGACUUCGGUCUGCGGCGAGUGGCGAACGGGUGAGUAAUGUAUCGGAACGUGCCUAGUAGCGGGGGAUAACUACGCGAAAGGUAGCUGGAUGCUGAUACGCCCUUCGGGGGAAAGCGGGGACCUUCACCUGCACUAUUAGAGCGGCCGACAUCGGAUUAGUUUGAAGGUGCAACACCAACCAAGGCGACGAUCCGUAGCCGGUUUGAGAGGACGACCAGCCACACUGGGACUGAGACACGGCCCAGACUCCCACGGAGGCAGCAGUGGGAAUUUUGGAGAGCAAUGGGGAAACCCUGACCUAAGCCAUCCCGGGCGUGUGCGAUGAAGGCCUUCGGGUUGUAAAGCAUUUUUGGCAGGAGAACGGCACGUGAUAAUGCCCUGUGCAACUGACGGUACCUGCAGAAUAAGCACCGUAGCUGUUCACUGUGCCAGCAGCCGCGGUAAUACGUAGGGUGCAAGCGUUAAUCGGAAUUACUGGCGGUGCUGCAGGCGGUUCGGAAAGAAAGAUGUGAAACUUGUGAGCUUAACUUUGGAACUGCAUUUUUAACUACUGAGCUAGAGUGUGUCAGAGGGAGGUGGAAUUCCGCGUGUGUAGCAGUGAAAUGCGUAGAUGGAGGAACACCGAUGGCGAAGGGCAGCCUCCUGGGAUAACACUGACGCUCAUGCACGAAAGCGUGUGGGGAGCAAACAGGAUUAGAUACCCUGUAGUCCACGCCCUAAACGAUGUCAACCAGCUGUUGGGGCCUCUGGGCCUGGUAGCGCAGCUAACGCGUGAAGUUGACCGCCUGGGGAGUACGGUCGCAAGAUUAAACUCAAAGGAAUUGACGGGGACCGCACAAGCUGUGAUGAUGUGAAUAACUGAUGCAACGCGAAAAACCUUACCUACCCUUGACAUGUCUGAACCUGGAAGAGAUUUGGGAGUGCUCGCAAAGAGGGAACCGGAACACAGGUGCUGCAUGGCUGUCAGCUCGUGUCGUGAGAUGUUGGGUUAAGUCCCGCAACGAGCGCAACCCUUGUCAUUAGUUGCUACGAGUGCACGACUGCCGGUGACAACCGGAGUGAAGCGCGGAUGACGUCAAGUCCUCAUGGCCCUUAUGGGUAGGGCUUUCACAUCGCCGUCAUACAAUGGUCGGGACAGAGGUCGCCAACCCGCGAGGGGGAGCCAAUCCCAGAAACCGAUCGUGUCCGAUCGUGUAGUUCGCAAACUCGACCGCGUGAAGUCGGAAUCGCUAGUAAUCGCGGAUCAGCAUGUCGCGGUGAAUACGUUCCCGGGUCUUGUACACCGCCCGUCACACCAUGGGAGUGGGUUUUACCAGAAGUAGUUAGCCUAACCGUGUAAGGAGUGGCGAUUACCACGGUAGGAUUCAUGACUGGGGUGAAGUCGUAACAAGGUA
rnacentral:rRNA from 1 species